rnacentral:rRNA from 1 species
AUGACGCAAAAUAGGGCUAAGUGGACAGCAAGGUAUGAGAAAGGUCUCGUGGAGGCAAGGUUUACCAAGGAUCAGGUUCAAGAUAAGGAAGCUCAGUUGAAAAAGCACUACAAAAAUAUCAAGUUGAUAGUCAACCGCUCUGGAAUAUCAUGGAAUGAUAUUGCAUGUGUGAUCAACACCACGCCUGAAAAAUGGGAAGAGAUCAUUGCAGAGGACCCAAAGCUCAAAAUGUAUGAAGGAAAGAGCUUUCCAUUGUACGAGGCAUUGGGUGUGCUCUAUGAAGGACACAUUGCGCAAGGAAGACACUGCCUCACAUCAAGGAAGCCUCCGAUUGGCACAAAAACAGGUAGCAACUUUGGAGCGAAGGAUAAGAUGGUUGCAAGCACUAGCAAGAAAAAUACAAGACAUGGAAGAGAUGACAACGUAAGGACUUCUUCAAUAAUUGACAUCAAUGAUACUCCUACAUUAGAUGAUGUGGAUGAAAGAGAGAACACUGUCAAUGACGAGGAAGAAUUAGCCAGUGAAGAUGCUGAUGGCGAUCAACCACAAAUAAGUGAAUCAAGUGCAAAAGGAAAAAAACUAAGAAACAAAAAGAAAGAUCAAGCUUCCAAGAAGGAAAAAGUGUCACAGCAAGGAAAACAACCCUCAAUUGCAGAAUGCUUGCAGGUCUUGAAUGACAUGGAUGAUGUUCCCGACGAGGUCAAAAUCUUUGCCUCUGAUGUUUUCAAGGAUGCAGCAAAUCGUGAGAUUUUCCUGGGUUACAACUCAAGAUUGCGGGGUAUGUGGCUAAAGAAGGAAGUCGACAAGAUUAGUCCUCAGCCUCCUCCUUUUACUUUAAACUUGAGUGACAUGCUAUGGCUACCUUGCACCAUCUGGCUCCCCUUGGUCGCCCUUUCGCAUGAUUCUGUGGUUACUCAGUCCAUGAAGCAGUCAUAA